rnacentral:lncRNA from 1 species
GGUUGCCCGGACUUCUCGCGGCUAAACUAAUUUUGGCUCCAAGGCGGCGUGAAGAGUGUGAUUCUGUUCAGCGACCGUGAUUCUGUUCAGCGACCAUGAUGUUGAGCCCCUAAUUGAGAGUCUGUUACCACUAUUAAUAGCUACUCUGUUCGGGCCCUACACAUAACGGUGUAUCUAAACCUCUCUACAAUUUUAUGGGAACCUGUGGUGAUAAGGAAGAUGUGAGCCUGGAGAUACAGAAGCUACCACAUGAAUGUUAAAAAUGAAGCUGACGCAGCAAAAGGCAGUGCCAAGGAACUAAAAGAAAACAAAUUUUGAUUACAUUUUUGGAGUUCCUGGGUCAAGCAGUUCAUGACACUGAGGCUUUUCCGCUACAUGAAUAAGUACUUUUUCUUUCCCGUUAAAGUGGGUUUGUGCUGGCUUCUCUAUCACUCACAACAACUGGAUACUAACUGAGGCAACACUUCCUACCUCUUACACACAUUACACCCAUAAAACAGAAACAACAUCUAAAAUUAGAUUUCAACACAGCUACCAAGCAGAAAAGUUCAAAUCAACAAGUUAUGGAUAAUGUUUUAUUGAAACUACAUUUCUCCUCCCAAUGUGAGUAUGGUGUUGGCCAACAUGUUGCGUGUUGAUUCUGCUUGCCUUUGUGUCCUACAUAUAGGAUGUGUACUGUGUAAUGAAUCGUUUCUUCAUUAUUUUUCUCAGCUUGCAUGGUUGCCUCCCUCACCUCCAUUCACAGAGCUCACUGUGACAGCAUUCAACCUUGUCUUGGUACAAGUGUGUAAUUUACAUAAUAGUCGC